UACAGAGGUCCCGAGCGUUGUUCGGAUUCACUGGGCGUAAAGGGUGCGUAGGUGGUGGGGUAAGUCUGAUGUGAAAUCUCUGAGCUCAACUCAGAAAUUGCAUUAGAAACUACCUUGCUAGAGGAUUGGAGGGGGGACUGGAAUUCUCGGUGUAGCAGUGAAAUGCGUAGAUAUCGAGAGGAACACCAGUGGCGAAGGCGAGUCCCUGGACAAUACCUGACACUGAGGCACGAAAGCUAGGGGAGCAAAC
rnacentral:rRNA from 1 species